CAGAUUCAAAGUUCAAUAAAUUUCCCUAAAAGCAGACCAUGAGUCACUCUCAUAACUGGGGUAGAACUCAAAACUCCUCGUCCCUAGCCAGAUGACAAAUCAUCAGCUCCGUGGACACCCGUACUGGGGCUGACAAAUCCUUCCAUGAUGCAGGACCGUUCGGUGGCACUGUUGGGUUGUCGUUAUCGAAGAGGAGGACUAUGAUGGAAAAUGGAGACCUUCUCCAGUGGGCUUCUCAAUCCGUGGUCAAUCUUUGCACUGCAAAGAGGAAAGCAGGGAUAUCAAGACCUUGCUGUCCAGGGCUCAGCAGUUUUAUUUGAUACUGGGCUGGGUAGUAAAUGUGUUAGUCUCAGCAAGCCACACUGUCUCUUUCCCAGUCCCCCACCUCCGCCACCAUAAGGUUGACUUACUCCAUAAACUCGGGGGAACCUUGGGGGCCUGUAAAUGGCGUCCCCUGGAAGUACUGCCAUCUGAGCCUGUUCAAGGGCUGUCUCAGGCAGUGUUCCCAGGGGACUAGACCUCUGAAGGUCCCAGGACACACAGCUGCUGAACAGUCCACAUGGCACUUGAAGAACAUACUUGAUGCCUAUGGUAGAACAUGGAAUUUCAGGGAUGCUCCAGCGGCAGUAAGCGGACCUCAAGCUGGAUGGGUGUGGUCAGUUCUACUUCAGACCACAAGAGACUGUCAUUCAUUCCUGGAAGCUUCCAGCUGUACCAUCUACCCAGCCUCCUCUGCUACUUAGAACCUUCACUGGUCACUGCUCCCUGCUCUCACUCCCAACCACCUUCACUUAUUUUAAUACUAACAUGGAAUGUGCUAAUAGUCGAUUAAACUGCUUCUCAUUGAGGGCUGUUAACAUUUUCAUAAGUUCAGGGAGCAUUUUAAGUGAAACAUGCAGAGCCAGGGAUGGAGCAGUGCACCUCCUCGUACUGAUGUGUGAUAUGAAGGCAGAUUGGUAAUUUGGUGGGAGUGGGUAGGAAGACUUAGAAGUAUUGCACAGGCAUCACAGUGUAUAGUCUCUGUGGCUCUGCAGAAUUCUGUUUAGGAUGGGAAUGACACUUUUUGAAAUUGUGUCACAUAGUGGCAACCCAGGCAGUGUGUGUGUGUGUGUGUGUGUGUGUGAGAGAGAGAGAGAGAGAGAGAGAGAGAGAGAGAGAGAGAGAGAGAGAGAGAGAGGUGGGAUAAUGCUCUUAUUCACGUAAAGAUUUGUCUCUCGUAUCGGUUUAAUUAAAUGCUGUUUGGCCAAUAGUCAGGCAGGAAGUAGAGGUGGGGCUACCAGACUAGGAGAAUUAUGGGAAGAGAAAAGGCAGAGACAAAUCAGCCAAACAGAGGAAGCAAGAUGAGAAUGCCAUACUGAGAAAAGGUAGCAAGCCAUGUGGUUAAACAUAGAUAAGCAUUAUGGGUUAAUUUAAGUUGUAAGAGCUCAUUAGUAAUAAGCCUGAGCAAUAAAUAAAACAGUUUACAAUUAAUAUAAGCCUCUGUGUGUUUAUUUGGGACUGAAUUGCUGCAGGACAGGGUGGGACAAAAACUUCCGUCUACGUGUGUGUGUGUGUGUGUGUGUGUGUGUGUGUGUGUGUGUGU
ensembl:lncRNA